rnacentral:lncRNA from 1 species
CAUUGUAUUUCACCCCAUUGUCUGUGACUGUAGAAUAAAUCCAGAAUAAGCAGUACUGGCUUUAAUGAAGAUAUACCAGAUUUUCACUGCAGCUGCCAAAGCUGAAUAGUGGCUGGUUUGUGUCCAGUGAAGAACAAACUUGGGAUAAAUGGAACAGCUGCACAAAGAUGUUCAACAUAAUAGGUCUGAUCCUGCUGUGCAAAUUCCUGCUGCGGUCAUGGAGAAUUUCAGGGUAUGGAAGCCAUAUGGACUCUGUGUGAUACAAGUGAUUCUUUAAGUACAGGUCACUACUUUGUUUCCUUUAAUUUCUGUAGACAAACAAAACUGGGAAGUUUUCAGUGCCAAAUGACACCAACCCAAUUUCACCAUGUUCCCAUGACAAUUCAGGGCAGUGGCCAAGUGCAAGGAAAUUCCARGGAUGCUCAAAGGCAUAUCUCAGGGGAGGAGCUUGGAAGAAAAUAUCAGGGAGUUUAUGUUUUAACAGGCUGCUCUCCAGAUAAUGGUGAGAAUUAGAGAGUUUUGUCCCCUUUCCAUUAUUUAGCUCAGUAUCUCUGUAGCAAUUAUCAGAAAGGAAGCACUGCACGGGAUAGGUGGGGCUUUAACAAACAACUGCAUGAUACAAAUUCAGAGACUGGCAAAUAUGGUCAGUGUAUCUUCUGAACUCACAUGACAGCACAUUCAGUCUGAG